rnacentral:rRNA from 1 species
AACGAACGCUGGCGGCAUGCCUAACACAUGCAAGUCGAACGAGACCUUCGGGUCUAGUGGCGCACGGGUGCGUAACGCGUGGGAACCUGCCCUUAGGUUCGGAAUAACUCCCCGAAAGGGGUGCCAAUACCGGAUAAUGUCUUCGGACCAAAGAUUUAUCGCCUUUGGUUGGGCCCGCGUUGGAUUAGCUAGUUGGUAGGGUAAAAGCCUACCAAGGCGACGAUCCAUAGCUGGUCUGAGAGGAUGAUCAGCCACACUGGGACUGAGACACGGCCCAGACUCCUACGGGAGGCAGCAGUGGGGAAUAUUGGACAGUGGGCGAAAGCCUGAUCCAGCAAUGCCGCGUGAGUGAUGAAGGCCUUAGGGUUGUAAAGCUCUUUUACCCGGGAUGAUAAUGACAGUACCGGGAGAAUAAGCUCCGGCUAACUCCGUG